AUAUCAAUAAGCGGAGGAAAAGAAACCAACAGGGAUUGCCCCAGUAACGGCGAGUGAAGCGGCAACAGCUCAAAUUUGAAAUCUGGCCCCCCCCGCGGGGCCCGAGUUGUAAUUUGCAGAGGAUGCUUUUGGCGCGGCGCCUUCCGAGUUCCCUGGAACGGGACGCCAUAGAGGGUGAGAGCCCCGUCUGGUCGGACGCCCAGCCACUGUAAAGCUCCUUCGACGAGUCGAGUAGUUUGGGAAUGCUGCUCUAAAUGGGAGGUAUAUGUCUUCUAAAGCUAAAUACUGGCCAGAGACCGAUAGCGCACAAGUAGAGUGAUCGAAAGAUGAAAAGCACUUUGAAAAGAGGGUUAAACAGUACGUGAAAUUGUUGAAAGGGAAGCGCUUGUGACCAGACUUGGGCGCGGCGAAUCAUCCGGCGUUCUCGCCGGUGCACUUCGCCGCGCCCGGGCCAGCAUCAGUUCGCCGCGGGGGACAAAGGCGCCGGGAACGUGGCUCCCCCGGGAGUGUUAUAGCCCGGCGCGCAAUGCCCCGCGGCGGACUGAGGUUCGCGCAUCCGCAAGGAUGCUGGCGUAAUGGUCACCAGCGACCCGUCUUGAAACACGGACCAAGGAGUCGUCUUCGUAUGCGAGUGUUCGGGUGUCAAACCCCUACGCGUAAUGAAAGUGAACGCAGGUGAGAGCCUCACGGCGCAUCAUCGACCGAUCCUGAUGUUCUCGGAUGGAUUUGAGUAAGAGCAUACGGGGCCGGACCCGAAAGAAGGUGAACUAUGCCUGUGUAGGGUGAAGCCAGAGGAAACUCUGGUGGAGGCUCGCAGCGGUUCUGACGUGCAAAUCGAUCGUCAAACAUGGGCAUGGGGGCGAAAGACUAAUCGAACCUUCUAGUAGCUGGUUUC
rnacentral:rRNA from 1 species